GGACAGUGAUUCCUCCCCAUAGCAAGGGGAACUCAGACACAGAGGCAGACACUUGCCAGAGGACCAGCUGCGGAGAGAAAGGGGCACUGUCUUUAGUAAAAACUACCAGGGCACAGCUCUUGGCUGUCUGCAGGCAUCACCAGUAUGGUGCCUGGCACACAGUAGGGACUCCGUAAAUAGCACUUCCUUCUCAUCUCUUCCAUACGGAGCAGAGGUGUGAAGAUGGAAAGAGGCACAAGAGAAAAAGAUAUUAGUGUCUGUCACCACAGGAGAAACCCGGCAAACCUGGCCAAGCAUAGGUCUGGAGAGCAAUGAACUGAAUCUCCACAAGAGUCCCAGUGGAAUGCAGUGAAUGGCAGGCCUCGGUCCCAACCACAUACUGAAUAUACUGAUGACUUCCAAAGACCCUUAGAGACCAUUUAGUUCGUCUUCUAUUUCUUCAGUAUCGGUCAAGAGGCCUAGAGCGCCUGCCUAGCCUAAUCUUAAGGGCGGCUGUUCCUGAGGUGUGGGAUGUGGAUCACCAACAUCAGUACCACGUGGUAACUUGUCAGGGAUGAACAUUUUAGGCCCCACCUGAGAUCCACAUUUCAAAGCUCUGGUGGGAGUGGGGACACCCAAAAUGUAUCCAAGGGCCAUGGGUUGUGUUUGAGAGCCACUGUUCUAGCAUCCUAAUGGUUCCACCUGCCCACAGGUGCCUUUCUUCUUUUCUAGUCUCACCAGUAACCGGCUGACACCACACCGGCACACUUGCUUUCAAGCUGCUCUGCUGUUUCCUUCACGGAUGCACAUACAUGCCCUUUCCCCAGAGAACUGGAGACCCCAAAGGCCUUCCAGAGAAGAAUUCUGGGGCUGGGCUACGACUUGGUUGGUAAGGCGCUUGCCUAGUUCUAGGAGGCCCUUGGUUUGAUCUCCCGCACUACAUAAACCAGGCUCAUGACUGGAAAUUUGGCACCAGGAGAGACUGAGACAGGAAGAUCAAGGGUUCAAGGCUAUCUUUGGCCACACAGUGAGUAAAAAGGGACAGACUGGGAUACAUGAGAUCAUGUCACAAUAAAACAACUAUAAAACACAAGCCCCAAAGUGGAGGGGGAAAAGAACUAUAGAGCUAGGGAUUGUGGUGCGUCAGUGUGAGCCGAGCGCCAGAAGGCAGAGGCAAGAGGACGCCUUGCAUCAGGCUGCGUUCUAGCAUAGCUUGAGCUACAUGACAAGGCCUUGUCUGAGGGGAGGGGAGAACGGAGGUCUCACUGGCAGUUCUUCUAUGUUAUUCUGACACAGGUUUAUUUAGUAAUGCUCGUGCAUACGGCACUGGAAAGAGAGACAGGCUCCUCUCACAACCUUACAGUGGGAGGCAGGGAAGAUCAUGCUAACUCUCAGUUAUGAGGCACAAAUCUAGACAGGCUUAGGUCCCUUAGAUCACGUGAGUCUCUUCCACAUGGUACACAGAGAAAACCUGUUUUUAAAAAACAACAACAAC
rnacentral:lncRNA from 1 species